GACGAACGCUGGCGGCGUGCUUAACACAUGCAAGUCGAACGAAGUGGCGAACGGGUGAGUAACGCGUAAUCAACCUGCCCUUCAGAGGGGGAUAACAGUUGGAAACGACUGCUAAUACCGCAUACUUAAGGAGGGGAUUGCGUCUGAUUAGCUAGGUGGAGGGGUAACGGCCCACAGAGGGGAUGUUACUUAGGCGGUUGGAGAGGAUGAACGGCCAAAUUGGGACUGAGACACGGCCCAGACUCCGACGGUAGGCAGCAGUGGGGAAUCUUCCGAAAUGGAAGAAAGUCUGACGGAGCAACGCCGCGUGAGUGAUGACGGCCGUCGGGUUGUAAAGCUCUGUUAAUCGGGACGCGGUACCGGAAUAGAAAGCCACGGCUAACUACGUGCCAGCAGCCGCGGUAAUAC
rnacentral:rRNA from 1 species